AGAAAAGCAUGAGGAGAUGCUGUGUAUGAGCUGGUGAGGCACUACAAUUUGCUUUAAAAAGGAGCAAAAGCAUUUUUCCUUUCAUGAAAAACAAAGGGGACAUCAUAAUGACAAGAGAUUGAGCCACAUGACUGUGCUGUGUCUGACCAGAAGUGUUAAUCAGAAAGACCAGUAACAGCCUAUCACAAUGGCACUGUGGCUGAUGAAACAUUACAGGAUAAGAAUGUGUGUUCCCAAGGUAAAUAUCUGGCUUGGCAGCCUCAUCUCCUACAGUGAAUCAAGGUAAAGGAGUAUGUAAGUGACUAGCACUGGCACAGCCCCAAGCAGAAAAGGUAAGAAGUAAAAAGCUGGUAUUAACUUAUGUAGCAUGUUGCAGCUUAACACAUUUUAAACAGGCUGGGAUCACUCUCUGGCAUCUGGAGCUAAAAACUUACAGCCGUGUUCUUAUGUGGAAUGAACUUGU